CUGGCGGCGUGCUUACACAUGCAAGUCGCACGAGAACACCUCAGCUUGCUGGGGUAAGUAAAGUGGCGCACGGGUGAGUAACGCGUGGGUAAUCUGCCCUCGAAUCUGGGAUAACCCCGCGAAAGCGGGGCUAAUACCGGAUGAAAUCCAGUUAGCUUUGGCUAUAUGGAUCAAAGGUGGCCUCUGCAUGCAAGCUACUGUUUGGGGAUGAGCCCGCGUACCAUUAGCUUGUUGGUGGGGUAAAGGCCCACCAAGGCGACGAUGGUUAGCUGGUCUGAGAGGAUGAUCAGCCACACUGGAACUGGAACACGGUCCAGACUCCUACGGGAGGCAGCAGUGAGGAAUUUUGCGCAAUGGGGGUAACCCAGACGCAGCAACGCCGCGUGGAUGAUGAAGGCCUUCGGGUUGUAAAAUCCUUUUCCGGGGGAAGAAUCAUGACGGUACCUCGGGAAUAAGUCCCGGCUAACUACGUGCCAGCAGCCGCGGUAAAACGUAGGGGGCGAGCGUUAUCCGGAUUUACUGGGCGUAAAGCGCACGUAGGCGGCGCUGUAAGUUGGGCGUGAAAGCUCCCGGCUCAACUGGGAGAGGUCGUUCAAAACUGCAGUGCUUGAGGUUGGAAGAGGAGAGUGGAAUUCCCGGUGUAGUGGUGGAAUGCGUAGAUAUCGGGAGGAACACCAGUGGCGAAGGCGGCUCUCUGGUCCAACCCUGACGCUGAGGUGCGAAAGCGUGGGGAGCGAACGGGAUUAGAUACCCCGGUAGUCCACGCUGUAAACGAUGGAUACUAGGUGUGGAGGUUACUUACCCCUUCCGUGCCGUAGCUAACGUGAUAAGUAUCCCGCCUGGGGACUACGGCCGCAAGGUUAAAACUCAAAGGAAUAGACGGGGGCCCGCACAAGCAGCGGAGCGUGUGGUUUAAUUCGAUGAUACGCGAAGAACCUUACCUGGGCUUGACAUGUUGGUAGUAGUGAAGCGAAAGCGGAUCGACCCUUCGGGGAGCCAUCACAGGUGCUGCAUGGCUGUCGUCAGCUCGUGUCGUGAGAUGUUGGGUUAAGUCCCGCAACGAGCGCAACCCUUGUCGUUAGUUACAUGUGUCUAGCGAGACUGCCGGUACCAAACCGGAGGAAGGUGGGGAUGACGUCAAGUCAGCAUGGUCUUUAUGUCCAGGGCUACACACACGCUACAAUGGCCGGUACAAUAGGUUGCCACACCGCGAGGUGGAGCUAAUCCCCAAAGCCGGUCUCAGUUCGGAUUGUAGUCUGUAACUCGACUGCAUGAAGGCGGAGUUGCUAGUAACCGCGCGUCAGCAAUAGUGCGGUGAAUGCGUUCCCGGGCCUUGUACACACCGCCCGUCACAUCACGGAAGUCGGUAACACCUGAAGUCGGCGACCCAACCGCAAGGAGGGAGCUGCCUAAGGUGGG
rnacentral:rRNA from 1 species